GGAGGGCGGUAUUUAUUAGAUAACAAGCCAAUAUUCCUCUGGUCUAUUGUGGUGACUCAUAAUAACUGAUCGAAUCGCAAGGCCUAUGGCCGCGGUAAGUCAUUCAAGUUUCUGCCCCAUCAGCUUUCGAUGGUAGUGUAUUGGACUACCAUGGCGUUUACGGGUAACGGAGGAUUAGGGUUCGAUUCCGGAGAGGGAGCCUGAGAAACGGCUACCACAUCUAAGGAAGGCAGCAGGCGCGUAAAUUACCCAAUCCUGACUCAGGGAGGUAGUG
rnacentral:rRNA from 1 species